rnacentral:rRNA from 1 species
AUGGCCGACGCCCCGCCGAGUUUCGGCGGCCUGGCCGUCGACCCGCCCGCAAAGGUGAAGAAGAAGCCGCCAAGGAAGCCGCGGUCGGAGUGCACGCCGGAGGAGAUCGCCAAGUUGGACGCAGAAUCGGCGAAGAGGAGGGAACGGAGAGCGGUCGUCAAGCUCAAUGCCGUCGCGGCCAAGAGAGCCGCCAUGCACGAGGAGCUGGAGGCCGCGCGGCGCAAGACCGCUGCCGACGAGAAGGAGGACCUCGUCAACAAAGCGCACGCCAUCCUCAUGCUUGGCAUGGGCCGUCCUGCCGGGUUCCCUGCAGCGGCCGUCGCCCCGGCGAGCACCAGCUCAUCGGUCGCCCGGCCUACGCACUGCCAGUCGCCGACGUCGCGCACCACGCCCAUGUCACCCGGCUUCCCUCCACCAAGGCACGACGGACACACCCGUUUCUCGGGGUCGCCGGAGGUGGGCUUGUUCGCGCCGUCCACACCGCGCCCCGCGGCCGUCAUCGACCUCAACGUCACGCCCGGGUCCAGCAGCGGUGGCCGACCGUCCGUCGAGACGCUAAGAAAGCAGGCACGGGCACCGUUCACGGGCACCAUGCCGGUCCCCCGUGUCUUGUUUGACGGAAUGCCAACCCCAACGCCAGCGGUCGACGACCCCUUCUACAACCGGUACAUGGAGGACGUGAUCUUCGACGGUGGCCAUGGCCGUACCUACGACCUCGAUGAGACCCAAAGUCAGGAUGGCCGUGCCGAGUACGUCCCCGACGAAGAGGUCGACGACCGUGCUGACUACGACCACGGUGACUCGUGGCAUGAAGACGAUGACAUCUAUGUCGAAUGUGAUGAUGAAGAAGAAGAAAGCAAUGACGUUGAUAUUAGUGGUGCGCCAUUGUUCAUCGACGAGCUCACCCAAAGAACCGAGGCACAAAAGAAGAGGAAGAGCAUUCGCACGGGUUCAUAUACACAAGAUGAGGACAAGUUGAUUUGCCAAGCUUGGAUGGAGAUUAGCCAAGAUCCGAGGACCGGCGCGCAACAAAAGGGCAUUGUUUUUUGGACGAGAGUCCACAAAACAUUCCAUGAAAGGAAGAUGUUUGAGCCCUACCAAAUUACAAGCAACCGUGGCAUCGGCUCUAUUCAAAAAAGAUGGUUGUUCAUCCAACAAGAGUGCAACAAGUAUUGCGCCGCAUUUGAGAGCGUUGAAGCACGGCCCGUGAGUGGUCUCGGCGUUGGGGACAUGGCAUUUCAAUCUUUGGAGGCAUUCAAGGCCCGGCACAAUGACAAGCCAUUUACUCUUACGCAUUGUUGGACGGUCAUCAACAAUUGCCCCAAGUUCAAGGACCAAUACCGUGAACUUCAAAGAAAGAGAGGCAAGAAGACGGCCAAGUUCGCCGGAGGUGGGGAUGGCGAGGCGUUGAAGAGGCCGAGGGGCAAGAACAACUCCAAGGUGGACGACAUACGUGACGCGUCAUCCAUGGCCUUGCAUGAGACUUUGCAUGGCAUGAUGUCCCAAAAGGAUGUGAAGGACGAGAAGAAGCGGCAAAGCAAGGACGAGCAAAUGAAGCAGUACCUAGACCUUCAAAGACAGAAGCUUGAGAUGGAGGAGGCGGCCAAGAGGAGGAAGCUCGACAUGGAGGAGGCGGCCCGGCAAAGGCAACUCGACAUGGAGGAGGUGGCCCGGCAAAGGCAGUUGGACAUCGAGGCCAACAACGUCAAGGCUAGGCAGAGGCAGCUCGACAUCGAGGUCACCAAUGCCGCCACCAAAGCGAAGGAGGUGGCCCUUGCGAUCAUGAGCGUGGACUUGUCGAAGAUGAGCGACAAGACGAGGGCCUGGUUCGAGGCCAGGCAGAAGGAGAUGCUCGACGCCGAAGGCCUGAACUAG